AGCAUCAUUAACGCAAACGCUUAGUGAGUUGCUUGGUGAUUUUUGGAAUUAAAAAAAAAGAAAAAUGCAUUAUUUACUGAGAAUGCGCUGCUUAAUUAAGCAACAGAAGCAACGUGGUUUAUUGGACACGUGUUGUGUUCUCAUCACUCGGCCGUGAAACCGUCUUCGUCUCUCCUCGUCUCUCUCUUUCCUCGACGACUCCGCGAUGAAGCUCUCGGCGUCUGUUGUUGUCGAUCCUCCAUCUUUCUCCUCGACGCCUCCAUGAUCAAUCGACAAUGAUCUCUCUUUUGUCUCUCUCUAUUUCUCCUCGACGCAAUGAAUCUCUCGGUGUGGAUCCUCCAUCACUCUCUCGACGCCUCACCGCGAUGAGAGAGAGAGAUUGUGAAUCCGAUCUCGUCACGGCGGAGACUCGCGGUGGUGGUGGUUACUUUCUCUUCUCUCUCUCUUUGAUCAUCUCUUUACAAAUGUAUGUAUACGCUUCUGGUGAUGAUCGUACGACAUCAUUUGGGUGUUAACGAUAAUAAUAAAGAUUGAACUUUUACUGUCUCCUCUGCAGUAAAAUUGAUUCCUUUGGAUGUUUUGGAUUCUGGGUUGGAUUUGAUUACUUUUUUUUCUUGAAACAAUCCGAAAGUUUGGAUUUUUGUGGGAUAUUUAAAAAUUGACAUUUGUUUGUGUUGAAAGGCUUUGGCUUUAGUCCACAGUCAAGAGUUAAUAUUGGAGAGGAUGGCUAUAUUCAAUUCUCAUGACUACUCAGUGGCUUUGGUUUACUAUAGUCGAUCAAACUGAUCAGAAUUUUUCUAUAUGUUUAUUCGUUUUGUUUAACUGUGUUCAAAGUAGGAUCUCUAGUGUAAAACAAUACUUGUUUCAGUUCUGUCGGAAUCUGAUGUGUUCUCUGUUUCAUUUCUAUUGGAAUCUAAUGUCUGUCUUUGUUUUUUUUUUGAUGUUUUUCAGGAAUGAACAACAUGCUUACAUUCAAGUCUGCCCAUAAAAUCCAACAAAUUUCAAUGUGGACAACGUCCGUGUUGCCAAGCUGUUGGGAGGAGGAUUGCACAACUCUUGCAUUGUCCGCGGAAUGGUCUUGAAAAGUGAUGCUGUGGGUAGCAUCAAGCGAAUGGAGAAAGCAAAGGUUUUGAAAACAAGAGAUUACAUCCAAGUUGAACAAGCUAAGCCUUAUGAGAGCAUUAUCGUAAAACGGCAACCAAAACUCACCAAAUCCAUCUUCUAAAUUGGAGAAAUAUGAUCAGGGAGUCUCGAAGUUGCCGAUAGGUAGUUUUAACCAUCCAAGUAGUAGCUGGAGGAUGUCAUUCAUUUUUUUUAUCUUUUUAUAUAUAUAGGAGUUGCUGUAUGUGUAUAUAUAUUGGAUUA